UACAGAGGUGGCGAGCGUUGUUCGGAUUUAUUGGGCGUAAAGGGUCCGUAGGCGGUUCGGAAAGUCGGAUGUGAAAUCCCACAGCUCAACUGUGGAACUGCAUUCGAAACUUCCGAGCUAGAGUGUGAGAGGGGUUAAGGGAAUUCCCGGUGUAAGGGUGAAAUCUGCAGAGAUCGGGAGGAACACCAGUCGCGAAGGCGCUUAACUGGCUCACUACUGACGCUCAGGGACGAAAGCUAGGGGAGCAAACGGG
rnacentral:rRNA from 1 species